GAAGGUGGCCUGUGAGGGUUGCUGGAGGUAUCAGAAGUGCGAAUGCUGACAUAAGUAACGAUAAAGCGGGUGAAAAGCCCGCUCGCCGGAAGACCAAGGGUUCCUGUCCAACGUUAAUCGGGGCAGGGUGAGUCGACCCCUAAGGCGAGGCCGAAAGGCGUAGUCGAUGGGAAACGGGUUAAUAUUCCCGUACUUGGUGUUACUGCGAAGGGGGGACGGAGAAGGCUAUGUUGGCCGGGCGACGGUUGUCCCGGUUUAAGCGUGUAGGUGUGUGUUCCAGGUAAAUCCGGUUCACUUUAACACUGAGGCGUGACGACGAGGCACUACGGUGCUGAAGCAACAAAUGCCCUGCUUCCAGGAAAAGCCUCUAAGCAUCAGGUAACAUCAAAUCGUACCCCAAACCGACACAGGUGGUCAGGUAGAGAAUACCAAGGCGCUUGAGAGAACUCGGGUGAAGGAACUAGGCAAAAUGGUGCCGUAACUUCGGGAGAAGGCACGCUGACAUGUAGGUGAAGUGAUUUACUCAUGGAGCUGAAGUCAGUCGAAGAUACCAGCUGGCUGCAACUGUUUAUUAAAAACACAGCACUGUGCAAACACGAAAGUGGACGUAUACGGUGUGACGCCUGCCCGGUGCCGGAAGGUUAAUUGAUGGGGUCAGCGCAAGCGAAGCUCCUGAUCGAAGCCCCGGUAAACGGCGGCCGUAACUAUAACGGUCCUAAGGUAGCGAAAUUCCUUGUCGGGUAAGUUCCGACCUGCACGAAUGGCGUAAUGAUGGCCAGGCUGUCUCCACCCGAGACUCAGUGAAAUUGAACUCGCUGUGAAGAUGCAGUGUACCCGCGGCAAGACGGAAAGACCCCGUGAACCUUUACUAUAGCUUGACACUGAACAUUGAGCCUUGAUGUGUAGGAUAGGUGGGAGGCUUUGAAGUGUGGACGCCAGUCUGCAUGGAGCCGACCUUGAAAUACCACCCUUUAAUGUUUGAUGUUCUAACGUGGACCCGUGAUCCGGGUUGCGGACAGUGUCUGGUGGGUAGUUUGACUGGGGCGGUCUCCUCCUAAAGAGUAACGGAGGAGCACGAAGGUUGGCUAAUCCUGGUCGGACAUCAGGAGGUUAGUGCAAUGGCAUAAGCCAGCUUGACUGCGAGCGUGACGGCGCGAGCAGGUGCGAAAGCAGGUCAUAGUGAUCCGGUGGUUCUGAAUGGAAGGGCCAUCGCUCAACGGAUAAAAGGUACUCCGGGGAUAACAGGCUGAUACCGCCCAAGAGUUCAUAUCGACGGCGGUGUUUGGCACCUCGAUGUCGGCUCAUCACAUCCUGGGGCUGAAGUAGGUCCCAAGGGUAUGGCUGUUCGCCAUUUAAAGUGGUACGCGAGCUGGGUUUAGAACGUCGUGAGACAGUUCGGUCCCUAUCUGCCGUGGGCGCUGGAGAACUGAGGGGGGCUGCUCCUAGUACGAGAGGACCGGAGUGGACGCAUCACUGGUGUUCGGGUUGUCAUGCCAAUGGCACUGCCCGGUAGCUAAAUGCGGAAGAGAUAAGUGCUGAAAGCAUCUAAGCACGAAACUUGCCCCGAGAUGAGUUCUCCCUGAGACUUUA
rnacentral:rRNA from 1 species